AUCCAACUGAAGAGUCCCAACUAAAACGAAACGUACAUCCUGAAU
rnacentral:hammerhead_ribozyme from 1 species